rnacentral:rRNA from 1 species
CGGAGGAAAAGAAACUAACCAGGAUUCCCUCAGUAGCGGCGAGCGAAGCGGGAAGAGCCCAAAAUGAAAAGCCAGCUUGCUGGCGUUGUAGUUGAGCGUCUUUGGGGUGUCAGUUCGGGAAAGUGGCAUGGAAAUGUCCGCCGAGGAGGGUGAUAGCCCCGUCCAUCCCGUUCAGGACACUUCGCACUAAGGCGUUUCAGACGAGUCGGGUAGCUUGGGAAUGCUGCUCUAAUUGGUGGUAAAUCUCAUCAAAGGCUAAAUAACGGUGGGAGACCGAUAGCGAACAAGUACCGUGAGGGAAAGAUGAAAAGCACUUUGAAAAGAGGGUAAAAAGAACCUGAAACCGUUACGGGGGAAGCGGAUUGCGUUGGCCUGGUGGCUACCUGUGUGUUCAGCCUUUUUGGUGCAUUGAUGCAGGUGGUUAUUCGUCGUGGCUUUUUAGCGGCUGAUUAUGAGUCGCUGAAGGGUGAGGGCUCCCCUUUUUUGGGUGAGGACGACGGAGUGACGACGCGAUACGACCCGUCUUGAAACACGGACCAAGGAGUCUAGCGCGGGUGCGAGUCAAAGGGUAACAAACCCGUGGGCGAAGUGAAAGCGAGUUUUAAAAACUAGCAGUUUGGGGCGGCAUAGAAUCGUUGAUUCUAGGUCCGACCUUGAGCAGUUGCGCUGGGACCCGAAAGAUGGUGAACUAUGCCGGAGUAGGGCGAAGCCAGAAGAAAUUCUGGUGGAGGCUCGUAGCGGUGCUGACGUGCAAAUCGCUCGUCGAACUUGGGUAUAGGGGCGAAAGACUAAUCGAACCAUCUAGUAGCUGGUUUCCUCCGAAGUUUCUCUCAGGAUAGCAGGCCGACAUGCGUUGUUUUGUGCGGUAAAGCGAAUGAUUAGCGCAUUCGGGGGCGUUUAGCCUUCGGGCGAUUCUCAAACUUUAAAUGCGCAAGGGUACCGGUGCUUUGUUGAGCGGUACCGGUAAAAACGUCGGCCUUGUGGGCCACUUUUGGUAAGCAGAACUGGCGAUACGGGAUGAACCGUAAGCAUGGUUAAGGUGCCAAACUGCCCGCUUAUAGAUCCCACAAAAGGUGUUGAUUCAUCGAGACAGCAGGACGGUGGCCAUGGAAGUCGGAAUCCGCCAAGGAGUGUGUAACAACUCACCUGCCGAAUGAAUUAGCCCUGAAAAUGGAUGGCGCUUAAGCGGGCGACCGACACCAUGCCGUCUGUAAAAGAAAUCAGAUGAGUAGGAGGACGUGGCGGCCGUGUCGAAGCAUGCGUGCAGACGCGUGUGGAACAGCCGCUAGUGCAGAUCUUGGUGGUAGUAGCAAAUAUUCAAGCGAGAUCCUUGAAGGGCGAAGCGGGGAAGGGUUCCACGCGAACAUUGAUUGGGCGUGGGUGAGUCGUUCCUAAGCCGAGUGGCAAUUGCUAAGUAGCGGCGAAAGGGAAGCAGGUUGACAUUCCUGCACACGGAUGUGGAGGCGGUGACGCUUUAAUGAGGGCGAACACGCCGGCGGUGGCGCUGGGCAGAGUUUUCUUUUCUGUUUGACCGCUGAAGCACGCGGUGUGGAAUCCGCUUGUCGGGAGAAACACGCGUGUACGGGCAGAGCGCCGGGGCUAUUCCGGCGUCCAGCUCGCCACCGACGGCCCUUGAAACUUUGCCUGCUGGAAUUUUUAUUAAGAUCCACGCCGUGGCGUACCGAUCACCGCAUCAGGUCCCCAAGGUGAACAGCCUCUGCUCGAUAUGAAAAAUGCAGGUAAGGGAAGUCGGCAAAUUGGACCCGUAACUUUGGGAAAAGGGUUGGCUCUAGUGCUGCGUGGGAGUGGUUGUCGGGUGUUGGCGUUUUCGGACUUGCUGAGCGAGCGCGAUGGCUCUUCGGGGUUGUUGUGUUUAAUUGGCGAGUCUGGAUUCGCCACGCUCGACGACGCCCACAGCAUGCAGCAAACUAGAACUGCAACGGGCAAAGGGAAUCCGACUGUUUAAUUAAAACAAAGCAUUGCGAGGGCCGUGGCCGGUGAUGACGCAAU